AACACAAAUGACGUAGCGAAUGAAACAGGAUUUCGAAAGCAGUCAAUAAAUACAUCAAGAUUCAAAGCCAAGCUUAAAUGCUUUUAGCUUCAGCAGUUAGAAAAAGAGACAAAGUGAAAGAGACAGGUUGAAUCAAGCCUAGCUUUGUUACCAGUUUAUCUUCGACAGUUCAACAUGAAUAGAAUCGCUCUCUGUUUGAUAGCUAUUUCUCUUCUGACCAUCUGUCAAUGUAACUCAAAGUCUUUCCCGUUUGUCCAACGUGACUAUGGUACUCGUAUAUGUGGUCCAGUCUGUAUGAUGUUCUGUGAAUAUGGAAAUGUGCUGGACAAAAAUGGAUGUCCAAUAUGCAAAUGUAAAAAGAAACCAAAAGACAUGUCAAAAUAAUGACCAGCUCUUAUAGUGGAACAUGACUCAUAAAUUUAUAGGAAGAGGAUGAUGAUACUGAUGCUGAUGAUGAUGAUGAUGAUAGUGGUGAUUAUGUGAAUGAUGGUGUUAGUGAAGAUGAAUAUGUUCAUCAUGAUGAUUAUGAUAAUGAAGGUUGCAGCUGAUGUGGUGGUGGUGGUGGUGGUGAAUUAACCAGGGCACACCUGCUUUUACAUAUUUUUCAGUUGUGAAGUUAAUUACCACAAAACAUUCACACAGCUCCAUGUACCAUACUAAUUAUUUAACUUGUUUCAGUCACUGAACUGUGGCCAGGGUAGGGCACGACCUUGACAAAAUUCUUCUUUUUUUUUUUGACCUUAUUGACCCCAGAAUUUAUUUUUAAAUAUGGUCCCUUAUUUUUGCAAUCUCUGUUUUGUCACAUUGCUUAGUAAGAGAACAUAAAACACACAGAAAAUGGGAUAUUUAUGUAUGUGUGAGUGUGUGUGUGUGUGUGUGUGAGUGUGUGUGUGUGUAUGUGUAUGUGUAUGUGUGUGCAUAUGUAUCAUUCAGCCAAUGUCAACUGUGGAAAUAACCAAUAGACACAAAUAUGCUCACAUGUACAUAUCUUUGUAUAAACACACACAUCUAUGUCUGUGUGUACAUGUGUGUGUGUAUACACACAUAUAUAUAUACA
rnacentral:lncRNA from 1 species